rnacentral:lncRNA from 1 species
GUAAAACUCAGAAGGCACUCUGUUUUAAAAAGAAAAGCAAAUGGUGCAUCUACCUGAGAAAAUAUUUGGAAGGAUUGAAGUAAGAUUGAGAGGGAAGCAGCAGGGGAAACGUAGUUUGGUUUUCUGGAAAUGAGCAAAGAUAGGAAUGGCAGAGUAGUAGAGGAGAGAAGAGGGAGAAGGAUCUGCUGAAUGGUACAAGCAGUGGAAGUUAUAGUUGAUGGGUACAUUCUUCUUUCUUAUUCCUGCAAAAGCUUUUACUAUGAGUUAUUUCCACACAUAUGCACAGGGAUUAAUAAGUCUUUAAGGAGCUGAUCUCUCCCUUUCUACCAGAUGGCCAACAUAAGG